AGAGUUUGAUCCUGGCUCAGGAUGAACGCUGGCGGCGUGCCUAAUACAUGCAAGUCGAGCGAACAGAUGAGGAGCUUGCUCCUUUGACGUUAGCGGCGGACGGGUGAGUAACACGUGGGUAACCUACCUAUAAGACUGGGAUAACUUCGGGAAACCGGAGCUAAUACCGGAUAAUAUUUCGAACCGCAUGGUUCGAUAGUGAAAGAUGGCUCUGCUAUCACUUAUAGAUGGACCUGCGCCGUAUUAGCUAGUUGGUAAGGUAACGGCUUACCAAGGCAACGAUACGUAGCCGACCUGAGAGGGUGAUCGGCCACACUGGAACUGAGACACGGUCCAGACUCCUACGGGAGGCAGCAGUAGGGAAUCUUCCGCAAUGGGCGAAAGCCUGACGGAGCAACGCCGCGUGAGUGAUGAAGGUCUUCGGAUCGUAAAACUCUGUUAUUAGGGAAGAACAAACGUGUAAGUAACUGUGCACGUCUUGACGGUACCUAAUCAGAAAGCCACGGCUAACUACGUGCCAGCAGCCGCGGUAAUACGUAGGUGGCAAGCGUUAUCCGGAAUUAUUGGGCGUAAAGCGCGCGUAGGCGGUUUUUUAAGUCUGAUGUGAAAGCCCACGGCUCAACCGUGGAGGGUCAUUGGAAACUGGAAAACUUGAGUGCAGAAGAGGAAAGUGGAAUUCCAUGUGUAGCGGUGAAAUGCGCAGAGAUAUGGAGGAACACCAGUGGCGAAGGCGACUUUUCUGGUCUGUAACUGACGCUGAUGUGCGAAAGCGUGGGGAUCAAACAGGAUUAGAUACUCUGGUAGUCCACGCCGUAACGAUGAGUGCUAAGUGUUAGGGGGUUUCCGCCUCUUAGUGCUGCAGCUAACGCAUUAAGCACUCGGCUGGGGAGUACGACGCAAGGUUGAAACUCAAAGGAAUUGACGG
rnacentral:rRNA from 1 species